rnacentral:rRNA from 1 species
UACGUAGGGGGCAAGCGUUGUCCGGAAUCAUUGGGCGUAAAGAGCGUGUAGGUGGCCAGAUAAGUCCGCUGUGAAAUCUCGAGGCUCAACUUCGAGCUGUCGGUGGAAACUGUCUGGCUAGAGUCCGGAAGAGGAUAAUGGAAUUCCUGGUGUAGCGGUGAAAUGCGCAGAUAUCAGGAAGAACACCCGUGGCGAAGGCGGUUCUCUGGGACGGUACUGACGCUGAGACGCGAAAGCGUGGGGAGCGAACAGG